AAUGAACGUUGGCGGCGUGGAUUAGGCAUGCGAGUCGCGCGAGAAUGUAGCAAUACAGGAAAGCGGCGAAAGGGAGAGGACAACAUAGGAAUCUGCCCUGGGGACGAGGAUAGCGUCGGGAAACUGACGGUAAUACUCGAUAACAUCUACGGAUCAAAGGUGUGAUUCCGCCCUGGGAUGAGCCUAUGCCCCAUUAGCUAGUUGGCGGUGUAAUGGACCACCAAGGCUAUGAUGGGUAGCUGGUGUGAGAGCACGACCAGCCUCACUGGCACUGAGACACUGGCCAGACACCUACGGGUGGCUGCAGUCGAGAAUCUUCGGCAAUGGACGAAAGUCUGACCGAGCGACGCCGCGUGCGGGAUGAAGGUCUUCGGAUUGUAAACCGCUGUCGAGGGGAAUCAAAUGUUAGGGGGUUCUCCCCCUAAUUUGAGAGAACCCUGGAGGAAGGGGAGGCUAAGCUCGUGCCAG
rnacentral:rRNA from 1 species